rnacentral:rRNA from 1 species
AGUGAACGCUGGCGGUAGGCCUAACACAUGCAAGUCGAACGGCAGCACAGUAAGAGCUUGCUCUUACGGGUGGCGAGUGGCGGACGGGUGAGGAAUACAUCGGAAUCUACUUUUUCGUGGGGGAUAACGUAGGGAAACUUACGCUAAUACCGCAUACGACCUACGGGUGAAAGCAGGGGAUCUUCGGACCUUGCGCGAUUGAAUGAGCCGAUGUCGGAUUAGCUAGUUGGCGGGGUAAAGGCCCACCAAGGCGACGAUCCGUAGCUGGUCUGAGAGGAUGGUCAGCCACACUGGAACUGAGACACGGCCCAGACUCCUACGGGAGGCAGCAGUGGGGAAUAUUGGAAAAGGGGCGCAAGCCUGAGCCAGCCAUACCGCGUGGGUGAAGAAGGCCUUCGGGUUGUAAAGCCCUUUUGUUGGGAAAGAAAAGCAGCAGGUUAAUACCCUGCUGUUCUGACGGUACCCAAAGAAUAAGCACCGGCUAACUUCGU